GGGGGAAUAUUGCACAAUGGGCGCAAGCCUGAUGCAGCCAUGCCGCGUGUAUGAAGAAGGCCUUCGGGUUGUAAAGUACUUUCAGCGGGGAGGAAGGCGGUGAGGUUAAUAACCUUGCCGAUUGACGUUACCCGCAGAAGAAGCACCGGCUAACUCCGUG
rnacentral:rRNA from 1 species